AUGGCCUGCAGCUGCGCUCAGGGGGUGGUGUUCGACGCCAACGUGAUCCGGAACAGCGCGCUGGAGGACGGGCUCGCCGGGUGGGCGCCGCUGGGGUCCUGCACGGAGCUGUCGGUGCGCCACGAGGAGCCGGAGAAGGUGCCCACGGAGACCAUCAACGACGUGGAGGACGGGUACAGGCCGAGCGGCAGGUACAUUCUCGCGGCCGGCCGCGGCGGCGAGGAGGACGGCCUUUGCCAGGCGAUCCCCGCCGGCACGCUCAAGCCCCGCGUCACGUACCGGGUGGCCGGGUGGAUCGGCCUCGGCGACGGCGCCGCCGGGGAGCACGCGGUGCGCGUCAACAUUCGCGUGGACGGCGAGGGCAAGGAGUGCGCACUGGUGGUGGAGGGCGGCGCGGUGUGCGCCGAGGCCGGCAAGUGGACGGAGAUCAAGGGCGUGUUCCGGCUCAAGGCGAGCCCCGCGUCCGGCGCCGCGGUGCACGUCCAGGGCGCGCCCGCCGGCGUCGACGUCAAGGUGAUGGAUCUCCAGGUGUUCGCCACGGACCGCAAGGCCCGGUUCAAGAAGCUCAGGAAGAAGACUGACAAGGUGCGGAAGCGUGACGUGGUGCUCAACGCCGGGGCGUCGUCGGCAGUGUCGGGGGCGUCGAUCCGGGUGAUGCAGAUGGACACGAGCUUCGCGUUCGGCGCGUGCAUCAACCCGGCGGUGAUCCAGGAGCCGGCGUUCGUGGACUACUUCACCAAGCACUUCGACUGGGCGGUGUUCGAGAACGAGCUCAAGUGGUACCACACGGAGGCGGUGCAGGGGCAGCUCAACUACGCCGACCCCGACGCGCUGCUCGACUUCUGCGACCGCCACGGCAAGCCCGUGCGCGGCCACUGCAUCUUCUGGGCCGUCGACCGCAUGGUGCAGAAGUGGGUCAAGGACCUGCCCAACGACCAGCUCACCGCCGCCGUCCAGGGCCGCCUCACCAGCCUCCUCACCCGCUACGCCGGCCGCUUCCCGCACUACGACGUCAACAACGAGAUGCUCCACGGCACCUUCUUCCAGGACCGCCUCGGCGACGACAUCAACGCCUUCAUGUUCAAGGAGACGGCCAGGCUCGACCCCGGCGCCGCCCUCUUCGUCAACGACUACAACGUCGAGGGCGGCGGCGACCCCAACGCCACCCCGGAGAAGUACAUCGCGCAGGUCAACGCGCUCAUGGAGAAGGGUGCCCCCGUGGGCGGCAUCGGGCUGCAGGGCCACGUCACCAACCCCGCCGGCGAGAUCAUCUGCGACGCGCUCGACAAGCUCGCCACCACCGACCUGCCCGUCUGGCUCACCGAGCUGGACGUGUGCGAGUCCGACGUCUGCCUCCGUGCCGAGGACCUCGAGGUGGUGCUCCGGGAGGCGUACGCGCACCCGGCCGUGGAGGGCGUCGUGCUCUGGGGGUUCAUGCAGGGACACAUGUGGCGCCAGGACGCCUGCCUCGUCAACUCCGACGGCACCAUCAACGACGCCGGCCAAAGGUUCAUCAACCUGCGGCAGGAGUGGACGUCGCACGCGCGCGGGAAGAUCGACAGCGACGGCAACUUCAAGUUCAGGGGGUACCACGGCUCGUACGUCGUGCAGCUCGCGACGGCCACGGGGAAGAUGCACAAGGCCUUCAGCGUCGAGAAGGGGGACACGCCUCUCGUGCUGGACAUGGACGUGUGA
rnacentral:rRNA from 1 species